AUAUUAACUUCAGCUUUUAAUUUGAAAGCCGACGUCAUAGCUGCAUACUGUUGUUCGUCCACCUGACUCCUGCCUUCACCGCGGGAUCCCUUGUGCUGUUUUGGCCUCCUGCCCGCUGUGCAUGCAUCCAGUGACAUUCCUGGACUGCUGUCGGUCGCAGAACAUGGGCCUCAUAACCAACCUCAUCUGAUCGCAGAGCUUGGUGGUAACACAAGGAGCGGCAACAUCAAGGCUUCUUUGGUCCGGCUUC